GGAUAUAUAGCUCAGUGGUAGAGCACAUACUUAGCAUGCACGAGGUCCUGGGUUCAAUCCCUGGUACCUCCA
rnacentral:tRNA from 1 species